GCGUCUAGUUGCAAGAUAUAGACCCGAAACCCGGUGAUCUAGCCAUGGGCAGGUUGAAGGUUGGGUAACACUAACUGGAGGACCGAACCGACUAAUGUUGAAAAAUUAGCGGAUGACCUGUGGCUGGGGGUGAAAGGCCAAUCAAACCGGGAGAUAGCUGGUUCUCCCCGAAAUCUAUUUAGGUAGAGCCUUGAGCGGACACCUUUGGGGGUAGAGCACUGUUUCGGCUAGGGGGCCAUCCCGGCUUACCAACCCGAUGCAAACUCCGAAUACCAAAGAGUGAUACUCAGGAGACACACGGCGGGUGCUAACGUCCGUCGUGGAGAGGGAAACAACCCAGACCGCCAGCUAAGGUCCCAAAGUCUAUAUUAAGUGGGAAACGAAGUGGGAAGGCUUAGACAGCUAGGAUGUUGGCUUAGAAGCAGCCAUCAUUUAAAGAAAGCGUAAUAGCUCACUAGUCGAGUCGGUCUGCGCGGAAGAUGUAACGGGGCUAAAAUAUAGCACCGAAGCUGCGGCAUCAGACGAAAGUCUGUUGGGUAGGGGAGCGUUGUGUAAGCGGAAGAAGGUGUAUUGAGAAGUAUGCUGGACGUAUCACAAGUGCGAAUGCUGACAUAAGUAACGAUAAAACGAGUGAAAAACUCGUUCGCCGAAAGAUCAAGGUUUCCUGUCCAACGUUAAUCGGGGCAGGGUGAGUCGACCCCUAAGGCAAGGCUGAAAAGCGUAGUCGAUGGGAAACGGGUUAAUAUUCCCGUACUUGUAAUAACAGCGAUGUGGGGACGGAGCAGGUUAGGUUAUCAAACUGUUGGAAUAGUUUGUUUAAGCUAGUAGGCGGAACAUUUAGGCAAAUCCGGAUGUUCAAGACGUCGAGAGGUGAUGACGAGAUGCGAUAGCAUUGAAGUGACUGAUACCACACUUCCAGGAAAAGCCACUAAGUAUUAAUGUUAUUAUAAAUCGUACUGUAAACCGACACAGGUGAUCAGGUAGAGAAUACUCAGGCGCUUGAGAGAACUCGGGUGAAGGAACUAGGCAAAAUAGCACCGUAACUUCGGGAGAAGGUGCGCCGGCGUAGAUUGUAGUCCCUUGCGGAUGAAGGUUGAACCGGUCGAAGAUACCAGCUGGCUGCAACUGUUUAUUAAAAACACAGCACUCUGCAAACACGAAAGUGGACGUAUAGGGUGUGAUGCCUGCCCGGUGCUGGAAGGUUAAUUGAUGGGGUUAGCGCAAGCGAAGCUCCUGAUCGAAGCCCCAGUAAACGGCGGCCGUAACUAUAACGGUCCUAAGGUAGCGAAAUUCCUUGUCGGGUAAGUUCCGACCUGCACGAAUGGCGUA
rnacentral:rRNA from 1 species